rnacentral:rRNA from 1 species
AACGAACGCUGGCGGCAGGCCUAACACAUGCAAGUCGAGCGAGGACUUCGGUUCUAGCGGCGGACGGGUGAGUAACGCGUGGGAAUGCGCCCUUCUCUACGGAAUAGCCCUGGGAAACUGGGAGUAAUACCGUAUACGCCCUAUUGGGGAAAGAUUUAUCGGAGAAGGAUCAGCCCGCGUUGGAUUAGGUAGUUGGUGGGGUAAUGGCCUACCAAGCCGACGAUCCAUAGCUGGUUUGAGAGGAUGAUCAGCCACACUGGGACUGAGACACGGCCCAGACUCCUACGGGAGGCAGCAGUGGGGAAUCUUAGACGAUGGGGGCAACCCUGAUCUAGCCAUGCCGCGUGAGUGAUGAAGGCCUUAGGGUUGUAAAGCUCUUUCAGCUGGGAAGAUAAUGACGGUACCAGCAGAAGAAGCCCCGGCUAACUCCGUG